UCUCCGUAGGUGAACCUGCGGAGGGAUCAUUACAGAGUUCAUGCCCUACCGGGUAGAUCUCCCACCCUAUGUUAUUAUUACUUUGUUGCUUUGGCGGGCCGUUAGGCUCCGGCGCGACUACCGGCCCCGGCUGGUAAGCGCCCGCCAGAGGACCCAAAACCCUGAAUAUUAGUGUCGUCUGAGUACUAUAUAAUAGUUAAAACUUUCAACAACGGAUCUCUUGGUUCUG
rnacentral:misc_RNA from 1 species